GGGGUUAAUUUAAUAAGUAAUAAAUAUGAAAAAAAAUUUUAAUAUAAUAUAUUUAAUGGGGGUUAAAGUAUUUUUAUAGAAAAAAUUUUAAAAUUUAUAGUGAAAUAGUAUUGUGAAAGAAAUAUUGAAAAUAUUGAAAUAAAAAUUUAUUUAAAAGUAAAUUUUAUUUAUUGUAUCUUGUGUAUCAGAGUUUUUUAAAAAUAAAAAUUAGGUAAAUUUAUUUCGAAAUUUAAAGAGUUAAUUAAUUAAAAAAGUUAAUAUUGCAUAAUUAUUUUAAAUAGUUAAUUGGAAAUGAAAAGUUAAUCGUUUUGAAUGAUAUCUAAUUUUUUUAGAAAAAAGUUUAAUUUUAAAUAAAUUUUAAAAAUAAUUAAUUAAUUAAUUAUUUUUAAAAUUUAAUUUUAUAUUUUAGGGGAUAAGCUUUAAAUUAGAAUUUUAUAAUAAAAGUAAAAAAAAAUUGAAAUUUUUAAAAUUUAUAUUUUUUAUAAAUUAUAGUUUAUUAUCAAUAAUUUCAUUUAAUUAAAAUUUUAUUUUAAUUUAAAUUUUUAUAAAAAAAUAUUUUUUAAUUUAAUAAAAAUAGGUAUAAUGAUAAAAUUAGUAUAUAAUUUAUAAAUAAAAUAAAAAUUAUUUAAAUUAAUAAAAAGGAAUUCGGCAAAAAU
rnacentral:rRNA from 1 species